CCUGGACUCACCGUACCCCAGAAAACAGCAGCAUGUGCUGGGCUUGGCGGAGAAGCUGUGGCUGGCUGACAGGUGAUUUCUCAGAGAUCUCCGCAGGUGACACAGGCAACGGGAAACUUAGCGACAAGGACUCACCUGAGGGAGUGUCCUCUGCGUUACUGAGAGUGGUGACCAGAAAGAAGACCAUAAGUGAUGAGGACAACAUUGCGGAUUCAGGGAUUCUGCUUCAACAAUACACUGACACCUUCCUAUCUUAUUCUGCUUUCUGUGCAUUACGCAUUCGCUAUUUAUAGGCUGGUAAGAUGUUUUCUUAAUAAUUACUUUACAUUUUUAUUAUCUGAUUAAUAAAUUAAAAACAAUUCCUGGUAACUGCACCCUGUGAUAAGAUUACCCCUUAUCACUCUUUUCUGUCGCGGGCAAACACAAGUAUCUUCCAGCUGCUGUUAUUAAGCUUAAAAUAAUAGGAAGAUGACUGCGACCAGGAUCUUAGGUCAGCACAAGGGUGAGGUGAGAGCGGGGUGCGGGGCUACUUGUAAAAUAAUGGAUUGUUCCUCUUGGCAUCCCUCCUCACCUGUAAUACUGACUGUCAUGUAUCGCUUAUAUGCAUAGUUGCCUACCCUCCCUCAUUCUGCAGGAGACUCCCUGAAAUAAUAACAAUCUCCCUGACUCCCUGAAUAGUCCAGCAAUCUCCCUGAUUGUAACUUAUCCCUAUUAUAUAGCUGUUACAUUCUUGGGGGAAAAAAUAAAUUAGAGAUAUAUCCAUUCAAAUGGGAUCAUCAGUGCCAUUUCCCUGCAUUGGUUAUAAGGCACAAGGGCCCUCAUUCCGAGUUGAUCGCUAACUGCCGUUGUUCGCUGCGCAGCGAUCAUUAAAAAAAAUGGUAAAACGGCGCAUGCGCCGCAAUGCACAUGCGUGGCGUACGGGAACAAAGAGCAUUGUUGUUUUACACAGGUUCUAGCAACGAUUCCAUUCGCACAGCCGAUCGCAAGGAAAGAUUGACAGGAAGUGGGAGUUUAUGGGUGUCAACUGAUCGUUUUCUGGGAGUGUUUGGAAAAACGCAGGUGUGUCCAGGCGUUUGCAGGGCGGGUAUCUGACGUCAAUUCCGGGACCUUCAUCGCAGCAAUCAUCGCACAGAAUAAGUAACUACAGGGAUGGUCUUGUUCUGCACAAAAUGUGUUUGUAACCGCUCGGCUGCGCAGGCGUUCGCACUCCUGCAAAGUGAAAAUACACUCCACCGUGUGCGGCAACUAUGCGUUUACACGGCUGCUAAAAGUAGCUAGCGAGCGAUCAACUCGGAAUGAGGGCCAAUGAUCCCUAUGGCUACACGCAUUUUUAAUUAGAAUUCUGAUGGCCACUUGCAGUAUAUGUGUAUACAAUAUACUAACUUUGGGGCUCAUUUGCGCUUGGAUGUAAGUCAUUUUCAUAACACGCCUCUCAUAUGUAGCAGAACAUUUUCAUACCGAUAGGUGUUACUUUCACAAUCUCCCUGAAAUGCUUUUUCAAAAGUAGGCAAGUAUGCUUAUAUGUAAAUCUAUUUAGAUACCAUAUUAAUUGAAAACAUACUUGUGAUUGGAUGUAACUUUGAGAACCCUAACCAGUCAUAAUCAGUGGUAAUCCAAUCUAUUAUAAGAUCUGAUUGUUAACCCCUGAUGAAGUCCUAACGGACGAAACGCGUUUGGUUUUGCGAUUUCGGAUUCAUAAAGCCUUCACCACAAGCAUCUGGUUGGAGAUAUCUCUCUUUAAAUUUCUGAUUGUGAUCACCUGAUUGUAAACUCCUCACAUCAAUUGAAAUAUGUGUUUAUAUAAGAUUGUUACAUCAUUUUACUGAAAUUUUAGUAAUUUGUACCUAAGACGAAUGUUUAAGUUGUAAAUGUCGUCUGUUUGUGUAUGAAUAAAAGCUUUUAAACAUA